CCUCGUGAAAGGAAGGCGGUGCCCCGUCAAAUUACCCACUCCCGAAUCGGGGAGGUAGUGACGAAAAAUAACAAUACAGGACUCUUUCGAGGCACUGUAAUUGGAAUGAGUACACUUUAAAUCCUUUAACGAGGAUCUAUUGGAGGGCAAGUCUGGUGCCAGCAGCCGCGGUAAUUCAAGCUCCAAUAGCGGAUAUUACAUUUGAUUCA